rnacentral:ncRNA from 1 species
GUGUUGCAAAAAAGGAGAGAUGGUUAGCACUCCCCUUGACAAGGUCGGAAGAGAUCAAUUGAUCUUUCUAACACAUAUGGACAUUGCUCUCUACUUUAGAGCAACCUAUUUUUAUU